rnacentral:tRNA from 1 species
GCGAUUGUAGCUCAGUUGGUUAGAGCAUCGGGUUGUGAUUCCGAGGGUCGAGGGUUCGAACCCCUUCAUUCGCCCCA